rnacentral:rRNA from 1 species
GAUGACCGCCAGCUAAGGCCCCAAAAUCAUAGUUAAGUGGGAAACGAUGUGGGAAGGCAUAGACAGCUAGGAGGUUGGCUUAGAAGCAGCCACCCUUUAAAGAAAGCGUAAUAGCUCACUAGUCGAGUCGGCCUGCGCGGAAGAUGUAACGGGGCUAAAACUAUGUGCCGAAGCUGCGGAUUUACGCUUAUGCGUAAGUGGUAGGGGAGCGUUCUGUAAGCCGAUGAAGGUGGAUUGAGAAGUCUGCUGGAGGUAUCAGAAGUGCGAAUGCUGACGUGAGUAACGACAAAGCGGGUGAAAAACCCGCUCGCUGAAAGACCAAGGGUUCCAGUCCAACGUUAAUCGGGGCUGGGUGAGUCGACCCCUAAGGCGAGGCCGAGAGGCGUAGUCGAUGGGAAAUUGGUUAAUAUUCCAAUACUUCUGUUUAAUGCGAUGAGAGGACGGAGAAGGUUAAGUCAGCCUGGCGUUGGUUGUCCAGGUGGAAGGUUGUAGGCAUGUAUCUUAGGCAAAUCCGGGGUACUCUAUGCUGAGAACUGAUAGCAAGCUGCACUUGUGCAGUGAAGUGGCUGAUACCAUACUUCCAGGAAAAGUCUCUAAGCUUCAGUUAAACAGGAAUCGUACCCGAAACCGACACAGGUGGUCAGGUCGAGUAGACCAAAGCGCUUGAGAGAACUCUGCUGAAGGAACUAGGCAAAAUGGUACCGUAACUUCGGGAGAAGGUACGCUGCCGGCGGUGAUAGGACUUGCUCCUUGAGCUGUUGGCAGCCUCAGAAACCAGGCCCCUGCAACUGUUUAUUAAAAACAUAGCACUCUGCAAACACGAAAGUGGACGAAUAGGGUGUGAUGCCUGCCCGGUGCUGGAAGGUUAAUUGAUGUGGUUAGCGCAAGCGAAGCUAUUGAUCGAAGCCCCAGUAAGCGGCGGCCGUAACUAUAACGGUCCUAAGGUAGCGAAAUUCCUUGUCGGGUAAGUUCCGACCUGCACGAAUGGCAUAAUGAUGGGGGCGCUGUCUCCAGCAGAGGCUCAGUGAAAUCGAAAUCGCCGUGAAGAUGCGGUGUACCCGCGGCUAGACGGAAAGACCCCGUGAACCUUUACUGCAGCUUGACAUUGAACUUUGAUCUUACUUGUGUAGGAUAGGUGGGAGGCUUUGAAGUGGCGACGCUAGUUG